CAUUCACGGAGAGUUUGAUCCUGGCUCAGGACGAACGCUGGCGGCGUGCUUAACACAUGCAAGUCGAACGAUGAAGCCCUUCGGGGUGGAUUAGUGGCGAACGGGUGAGUAACACGUGGGCAAUCUGCCCUUCACUCUGGGACAAGCCCUGGAAACGGGGUCUAAUACCGGAUAACACCGGCUUCCGCAUGGGAGCUGGUUGAAAGCUCCGGCGGUGAAGGAUGAGCCCGCGGCCUAUCAGCUUGUUGGUGGGGUAAUGGCCUACCAAGGCGACGACGGGUAGCCGGCCUGAGAGGGCGACCGGCCACACUGGGACUGAGACACGGCCCAGACUCCUACGGGAGGCAGCAGUGGGGAAUAUUGCACAAUGGGCGAAAGCCUGAUGCAGCGACGCCGCGUGAGGGAUGACGGCCUUCGGGUUGUAAAC
rnacentral:rRNA from 1 species